UUAUAGGCUAAUGACUUAGCAGCCAUAUGGUCACCACAAAUGCCUUCAUGCACUUCCCGAAGAGCAUAUUCAGCUUCAGAUGGAGUCAAACAUUUCAAUAAUGGAGACGAGAAGGCCCUUCGGAAAAGAUCCCCAUCAAUCAGAACAAAGUUAGCACUCUUGUACUUGAUUUUCUUAGCAAGCAUCCGAUCCGAAGGUAAGACGCCAUCUGCCAAAUAUUC
rnacentral:lncRNA from 1 species